rnacentral:rRNA from 1 species
UAAAGAGGAGGAAGGAAUGGGCAACGUAGGUCAGCAUGCCCCGAAUUAUCCGGGCUACACGCGGGCUACAAUGGUCAGGACAAUGGGUAUCGACACCGAGAGGUGGAGGCAAUCUCCUAAACCUGUCCUUAGUUCGGAUUGAGGGCUGCAACUCGCCCUCAUGAAGCUGGAAUCCGUAGUAAUCGCGUUUCAACAGAACGCGGUGAAUACGUCCCUGCGUCCUU